rnacentral:SRP_RNA from 1 species
GCCGGGCGCGGUGGCGCAUGCCUGUAGUCUCAGCUAUUCGGGAGGCUGAGGCUGGAGGAUCUCUUGAGUCAAGGAGUUCUGGGCUGUAGUGCGCUAUGUAGUGUCUGCACGAAGUUCGGCAACAAUAUGGUGACCUCCUGGGAGCGGGGGACCAUUAGGUUGCCUAAGGAGGCGUGAACCGGCCCAGGUUGGAAACGGAGCAGGUCAAAACUCCCGUGCUGAUCAGUAGUGGAAUCGCGCCUGUGAAUAGCCACUGCACUGCACUCCAGCCUGGGCAACACAGAGAGACCCCGUCUCU